AUUGAACGCUGGCGGCAUGCCUUACACAUGCAAGUCGAACGGUAACAGGUCUUCGGAUGCUGACGAGUGGCGAACGGGUGAGUAAUACAUCGGAACGUGCCUAGUAGUGGGGGAUAACUACUCGAAAGAGUGGCUAAUACCGCAUGAGAUCUACGGAUGAAAGCAGGGGAUCGCAAGACCUUGUGCUACUAGAGCGGCCGAUGGCAGAUUAGGUAGUUGGUGGGAUAAAAGCUUACCAAGCCGACGAUCUGUAGCUGGUCUGAGAGGACGAUCAGCCACACGGGGACUGAGACACGGCCCAGACCCCUACGGGAGGCAGCAGUGGGGAAUUUUGGACAAUGGGCGCAAGCCUGAUCCAGCAGUGCCGCGUGCAGGAUGAAGGCCUUCGGGUUGUAAACUGCUUUUGUACGGAACGAAAAGCCCUGGGUUAAUACCCUGGGGUCAUGACGGUACCGUAAGAAUAAGCACCGGCUAACUACGUGCCAGCAGCCGCGGUAACAC
rnacentral:rRNA from 1 species